CCUACGGGUGGCUGCAGUGAGGAAUAUUGGUCAAUGGGCGCGAGCCUGAACCAGCCAAGUAGCGUGAAGGAUGACUGCCCUACGGGUUGUAAACUUCUUUUAUAAAGGAAUAAAGUGAGGCACGUGUGCCUUUUUGUAUGUACUUUAUGAAUAAGGAUCGGCUAACUCCGUGCCAGCAGCCUCGGUAAUACGGAGGAUCCGAGCGUUAUCCGGAUUUAUUGGGUUUAAAGGGAGCGUAGAUGGGGUGUUAAGUCAGUUGGGAAAGUGUGGGGCUCAACCGUAAAAUUGCCAUUGAUACUGGCAGUCUCGAGUAGAGUUGAGGUAGGCGGAAUUCGCGGUGUAGCGGUGAAAUGCUUAGAUAUCACGAAGAACUCCGAUUGCGAAGGCAGCAUACUAAACUGCCACUGACAUUGAUGCUCGAAAGUGUGGGUAUCAAACAGGAUUAGAUAACCCUGUAGUC
rnacentral:rRNA from 1 species